AGUGAUUACGCGUUUUGAAUGAAAGCAGACGGAUCUUCAACAUGAGCGACGGAUUAAUUAAGCAUGGAACAUGCAAGAAGAUAAUGCAGCAGAUGUAGUUCAAAGUAAUGGUAUUAAAGAAUUAUGCAGUGAAACCAGAAUAUUGGACAGCCCUAAAGAUAGUGAUCAUUGAACAUAAAUUUCAUACAGAGGUACAACUCUUCUGCCACCGAAGGGGCUAUAUGUGAAGCCUGAAGAAUUGCCACCAAGAAGUAUUGUCACCAAGACACUCUGGGUUUGUAGAAAAUAAUCAUUUAAAGGAUGGAGCAUUUUACCUACCAUGCAAUAAAUGCACAUUGCAAUAUAUGGAAUACAAGUGAAAUCAACAUGAGCAGAGGCAAGGAAGAUGCAACAAAGGAAGAUUUCAUAAAGAACAUAUUGAUA